CGGGGAUAGAACAGGAAUGGAGUCUUAGAACUUACCAAAACUAUUUGCCAAAUUCAACAUGAAUUGGUUCAUAAUUUUGGUUAAUCUGAAACAACGUUUUUGGAUCCCUGCCUACUUCAGUAUUAAUCACCCCUAGCUAUAAUAACAGUGCUUGAAAUUGCACAUGCAGAACAUGUGAACACACAGUUUUGCAGGUGCAAAUAACAGCACACACCUCUCUGUGGGCACAAAACCAGAGGCUGGGUCUGAAAACAUGGCCCUUAAUCUUCACAGCUACUGUUCAAGUGCAGCUACUACACAAUCAAGAAAAGCAACAAUAAAAAUGACAUCGUGGUGCUCCCAAUCUAUUCCCCCUCAAGGACUCCUAUAUCAAACUGGUUCACUUUACAAGUCAAAACAAGUUUUCUCUAACUGUCACCACUGCCUGGUGUCUGAAAAUCAAGCUGUUUUCUUUCUGCUUUGCACAUUAGCACCAGAUAUGAAGAUCCCAGACUCUGAAUGUAAUUGGCAAUACUCUUGAUGAUGCACAGGGUAAAAUAGAAGGCAGCUUGCUCCUCAGCUCCUACAUUGGAUCUGGAACACUGACAGCAGUAAAAACGAUCUGUCACUUAAAUAACCAGAUACUAUGUGACUCAGAAGAUGCAGAAUGAGGAGAGAAGAAUAGGACCAAGGUGCUAUUUUUCUUUGCCGUCAGAUUUCUAACCAGAAAUUAAAUGUCAGGGGGAGCUAAGAAAAGUGGUUGAGAAAAUACAGCAGGGGUGGACAAACUUUUUGGCCCGAGGGCCACAUCGGGGUGCG